CGAUCGGUAGCCGGACUGAGAGGUUGAACGGCCACAUUGGGACUGAGACACGGCCCAGACUCCUACGGGAGGCAGCAGUGGGGAAUAUUGCACAAUGGGGGAAACCCUGAUGCAGCGACGCCGCGUGGAGGAAGAAGGUCUUCGGAUUGUAAACUCCUGUUGUUGAGGAAGAUAAUGACGGUACUCAACAAGGAAGUGACGGCUAACUACGUGCCAGCAGCCGCGGUAAAACGUAGGUCAAAGCGUUGUCCGGAAUUACUGGGUGUAAAGGGAGCGCAGGCGGGAAGACAAGUUGGAAGUGAAAUCCAUGGGCUUAACCCAUGAACUGCUUUCAAAACUGUUUUUCUUGAGUAGUGCAGAGGUAGGCGGAAUUCCCGGUGUAGCGGUGGAAUGCGUAGAUAUCGGGAGGAACACCAGUGGCGAAGGCGGCCUACUGGGCACCAACUGACGCUGAGGCUCGAAAGUGUGGGUAGCAAACAGGAUUAGAUACCCUGGUAGCCCACACUGUAAACGAUGAUUACUAGGUGUUGGAGGAUUGACCCCUUCAGUGCCGCAGUUAACACAAUAAGUAAUCCACCUGGGGAGUACGACCGCAAGGUUGAAACUCAAAGGAAUUGACGGGGGCCCGCACAAGCAGUGGAGUAUGUGGUUUAAUUCGACGCAACGCGAAGAACCUUACCAAGUCUUGACAUCCGUUGACCGCUGUAGAAAUACAGUUUUCCUUCGGGACAGCGAGACAGGUGGUGCAUGGUUGUCGUCAGCUCGUGUCGUGAGAUGUUGGGUUAAGUCCCGCAACGAGCGCAACCCUUAUGGUCAGUUACUACGCAAGAGGACUCUGGCCAGACUGCCGUUGACAAAACGGAGGAAGGUGGGGAUGACGUCAAAUCAUCAUGCCCUUUAUGACUUGGGCUACACACGUACUACAAUGGCGUUAAACAAAGAGAAGCAAGACCGCGAGGUGGAGCAAAACUCAGAAACAACGUCCCAGUUCGGACUGCAGGCUGCAACUCGCCUGCACGAAGUCGGAAUUGCUAGUAAUCGUGGAUCAGCAUGCCACGGUGAAUACGUUCCCGGGCCUUGUACACACCGCCCGUCACACCAUGAGAGCCGGGGGGACCCGAAGUCGGUAGUCUAACCGCAAGGAGGACGCCGCCGAAGGUAAAACUGGUGAUUGGGGUGAAGUCGUAACAAGGUAGCCGUAGGAGAACCUGCGGCUG
rnacentral:rRNA from 1 species